rnacentral:rRNA from 1 species
AUUGAACGCUGGCGGCGGGCCUAACACAUGCAAGUCGAACGGUAGCACAGAGAGCUUGCUCUCGGGUGACGAGUGGCGGACGGGUGAGUAAUGUCUGGGAAACUGCCCGAUGGAGGGGGAUAACUACUGGAAACGGUAGCUAAUACCGCAUAACGUCGCAAGACCAAAGUGGGGGACCUUCGGGCCUCACACCAGCGGAUGUGCCCAGAUGGGAUUAGCUAGUAGGUGGGGUAAUGGCUCACCUAGGCGACGGUCCCUAGCUGGUCUGAGAGGAUGACCAGCCACACUGGAACUGAGACACGGUCCAGACUCCUACGGGAGGCAGCAGUGGGGAAUAUUGCACAAUGGGCGCAAGCCUGAUGCAGCCAUGCCGCGUGUAUGAAGAAGGCCUUCGGGUUGUAAAGUACUUUCAGCGGGGAGGAAGGCGGUGAAGUUAAUAGCUUCACCGAUUGACGUUACCCGCAGAAGAAGCACCGGCUAACUCCGUGCCAGCAGCCGCCGUAA